AUUUAAUUAGUUUAAAAAAAAAUAUUAACUUGUGGUGUUAAAGAUAUAAAGUUUAUAUUAAAUU
rnacentral:tRNA from 1 species